GAUCAUGGCUCAGGAUGAACGCUGGCGGCAUGCCUAAUACAUGCAAGUCGAACGAGAGGAAGGAAAGCUUGCUUUUCUGAAUCUAGUGGCGAACGGGUGAGUAACACGUAGGUAACCUGCCCAUGUGCCCGGGAUAACUUCUGGAAACGGAUGCUAAAAACGGAUAGGUAGCAGACAAGCAUUUGACUGCUAUUAAAGUGGUUAUGGCCAUGAACAUGGAUGGACCUACGGUG
rnacentral:rRNA from 1 species